rnacentral:rRNA from 1 species
UACAGAGGUGGCAAGCGUUGUUCGGAAUUACUGGGCGUAAAGGGCGCGUAGGCGGCCUUGUAAGUCCUGUGUGAAAUCCCCCGGCUCAACUGGGGAACUGCACAGGAGACUGCUUGGCUUGAGUUCGGGAGAGGGAAGCGGAAUUCCGGGUGUAGCGGUGAAAUGCGUAGAUAUCCGGAGGAACACCGGUGGCGAAGGCGGCUUCCUGGUCCGACACUGACGCUGAGGCGCGAAAGCCAGGGGAGCAAACGGG